CAAACGGAUAAGCCAGAGCAGACACACGCUUGAAGGGAAUGCUUUAAAGGUACACGACUUGUCGUCUCGUUACAUUUAUGUAGACAAGCUUAGUUAAAAUAUGUUUAAGGUUGAUAUAGCGAAAAUGGUUGAAGUGGUAUGUUAAUGAAGUGAUGGAAUUCACUCGACAACCAAAUGGGUCAAGUUAAUGGUUAAAACAAUAGUAAUCAAAAUAAAGACACCAUUUGGUAAAAGUUAUAACGGGUCGGACAAUCUAAGGAAAUGUCUUUUAAGUAGUAAAAAACUCACGGUGCGAACCGGAAUUGGUCCAAGGGACAUGAUUGUAUUAAUAUACCAUCAUACGUAGAUAAAUGGCCAUGUCGACUAAACGGGUCAAAUGGCGUGUAAAUACCAUUUGACAAUAAUAACUGACGACUACUUGUUGAGUUUUGUGAUUACAGGAAAUAUCAUAUGUUGCGUUGCUUUAAUUAGAAAAUCUAAAGCAAGAGGUAUGUAAACGGGUCAAUGCUAUGACCCGAGCUAGGUACAUAUAGUUAGAUUUAUAGUUAAAAGUGGUAUUGUGGUCAAUUAAUUAGUGGAAGUCACUCGUCGUAAUUUGAGGGACUAAAAUUGACCAAAAAGCCCUUGAUGGGUAUAUUGGGCAAACGACCCAUAUGGGGUGUUUGGAAACUUGCAUUAUGAUUAUGAGAUAUAGGUAGAUACCUUGAAUGCGGAAUUAUGAAGUGUGAAAGGAAAAGAACGAGUUUUAGACUAAAAUGCUUAAUAUUCUCUAAAUGGGUCGAAAGGGUUUUAUGUUCAUACAUAAAUCAUAAUAAAAUUUCGAACCCGAGCAAAGGACUUUGGGUUAAAUACAUUGGUGUAUAUAUUUUGUUGGUUAAAAACCAAGUGGGUGGUUUUAAAUACAAGCGGGUCAAAAAGUCUCGAAACUGAAUUUCAAGCCGAGAGCUUCAAAUCUAAAAUUUUGUGAUUUCAGAUGUCGGGUUUUUACUCCAUGAGAUGGAGAAUUAAAUUAUAGUCGCGUAGGAAAAAGAAUCACGCGAAUCGGAUAAGUAGAAGAAAAGUUAUGGCAAUUAUAAGUUUUUAAGUUGGAUAAAAAUUGAGCUGGGCAUUUGCAGCAUCAGCCAAAUGAUCAUUCUGACAAAAAUAGGGCUAGGUGUAGUGCGACGCCCCUUAGAGUACGGUGGCGCCCUAAAUUACGAAAAUUGUUGAAUUUUGUUGUUUUGAACCAUAUGACUUGUUUAAACAUGUUAUUUAACUACCAAAGCUAACUUUUAUGUUGGUUUCGGUCAUAGGUGAAUGUCAAGGGAUUCCCGGAUGAAGAUCAAGCUCAACGAAGAAUCGAACACACGAGA